UACGUAGGGUGCAAGCGUUAAUCGGAAUUACUGGGCGUAAAGCGUGCGCAGGCGGUUGUGCAAGACCGAUGUGAAAUCCCCGGGCUUAACCUGGGAAUGGCAUUGGUGACUGCACGGCUAGAGUGUGUCAGAGGGGGGUAGAAUUCCACGUGUAGCAGUGAAAUGCGUAGAGAUGUGGAGGAAUACCGAUGGCGAAGGCAGCCCCCUGGGAUAACACUGACGCUCAUGCACGAAAGCGUGGGUAGCAAACAGG
rnacentral:rRNA from 1 species